CAUACCACUUGUUGCCUCGGCGGAUCAGCCCGCUCCCGGUAAAACGGGACGGCCCGCCAGAGGACCCCUAAACUCUGUUUCUAUAUGUAACUUCUGAGUAAAACCAUAAAUAAAUCAAAACUUUCAACAACGGAUCUCUUGGUUCUGGCAUCGAUGAAGAACGCAGCAAAAUGCGAUAAGUAAUGUGAAUUGCAGAAUUCAGUGAAUCAUCGAAUCUUUGAACGCACAUUGCGCCCGCCAGUAUUCUGGCGGGCAUGCCUGUUCGAGCGUCAUUUCAACCCUCAAGCACAGCUUGGUGUUGGGACUCGCGUUAAUUCGCGUUCCUCAAAUUGAUUGGCGGUCACGUCGAGCUUCCAUAGCGUAGUAGUAAAACCCUCGUUACUGGUAAUCGUCGCGGCCACGCCGUUAAACCCCAACUUCUGAAUGUUGACCUCGGAUCAGGUA
rnacentral:rRNA from 2 species